GAUGAACGCUGGCGGCGUGCUUAACACAUGCAAGUCGAACGAUGAAGCCCAGCUUGCUGGGUGGAUUAGUGGCGAACGGGUGAGUAACACGUGAGUAACCUGCCCUUAACUCUGGGAUAAGCCUGGGCAACUGGGUCUAAUACCGGAUAGGAGCGCCUACCGCCUGGUGGGUGUUGGAAAGAUUUAUCGGUUUUGGAUGGACUCGCGGCCUAUCAGCUUGUUGGUGAGGUAUUGGCUCACCAAGGCGCCGCCGGGUAGCCGGCCUGUGAGGGUGACCGGCCACACUGGGACUGAGAGACGGCGCAGACUCCUACGGGAGGCAGCAGUGGGGAAUAUUGCACAAUGGGCGAAAGCCUGAGGCAGCGACGCCGCGUGAGGGAUGACCGCUUUCGGGUUGUAAACCUCUUUCAGUAGGGAAGAAGCGAAAGUGACGGUACCUGCAGAAGAAGCACCGGCUAACUACGUG
rnacentral:rRNA from 1 species